rnacentral:rRNA from 1 species
GCUCAAUGAUGAUUUUUCAUUAAAUAGCCGCAGUAUCCUGACUGCGUGAAAGUAGCAUAAUAAUUUGCCUUUUAAUUGGUGGCUGGUAUCAAUGGUAUUAUGAGGGUGAAGCUGUCUCUUGCGUAUUCUUUUGAAGUUACCUAUUAGGUGAAAAGGCCUAAAUGGUUUUAUAAGACAAGAAGACCCUGUCAAGCUUUACAGCAGGCUGGAAGUUUAAAAUCCUAUUUUGUUGUUUGAUUGGGGCAAUCGGGGGGCAAAAAAAAUCCCUCCCUUUUUUAUUCCUUCUAGGAAUGACCCGCAUUAAGCGAUCUAGGGAAAAAGUUACUGCAGGGAUAACAGCGUAAUUUUCUCUGUGAGUUCUUAUUUAAGAGAAAGUUCGCGACCUNGA